rnacentral:rRNA from 1 species
GACGAACGCUGGCGGCGUGCUUAACACAUGCAAGUCGAACGGUGAAGCGCUUGCCUUUUUGGUGGGUGUGGAUGAGUGGCGAACGGGUGAGUAACACGUGAGUAACCUGCCCUCUUCUUCUGGAUAACCUCAUGAAAGUGGGGCUAAUACGGGGUAUUCCGUGUCUGUCGCAUGGCGGGUUUGGGAAAGAUUGCGCCUUUGGGUGUUUUCGGUGGGGGCUGGGCUCGCGGCCUAUCAGCUUGUUGGUGGUGUGAUGGCCUACCAAGGCGGUGACGGGUAGCCGGACUGAGAGGUUGGACGGCCACGCUGGGACGGGGACACGGCGCAGACUCCUGCGGGAGGCAGCAGUGGGGAAGAUUGGACAAUGGGCGCAAGACUGAUGCAGCGACGCCGCGUGAGAGAUGGAGGCCGUCGGGUUGUGAACCUGUUUCGCCAGUGAAGCAGGCCUGCUCCUGUGUGGGUGGGUUGACGGUAGCUGGAUAAGAAGCGCCGGCUAACUACGUG